GGAUUAGUGGCGAACGGGUGAGUAACACGUGGGCAAUCUGCCCUGCACUCUGGGACAAGCCCUGGAAACGGGGUCUAAUACCGGAUAAUACUGUUCCCCUCAUGGGGGGUGGUUGAAAGCUCCGGCGGUGCAGGAUGAGCCCGCGGCCUAUCAGCUUGUUGGUGGGGUAAUGGCCUACCAAGGCGACGACGGGUAGCCGGCCUGAGAGGGCGACCGGCCACACUGGGACUGAGACACGGCCCAGACUCCUACGGGAGGCAGCAGUGGGGAAUAUUGCACAAUGGGCGGAAGCCUGAUGCAGCGACGCCGCGUGAGGGAUGACGGCCUUCGGGUUGUAAACCUCUUUCAGCAGGGAAGAAGCGCAAGUGACGGUACCUGCAGAAGAAGCGCCGGCUAACUACGUGCCAGCAGCCGCGGUAAUACGUAGGGCGCAAGCGUUGUCCGGAAUUAUUGGGCGUAAAGAGCUCGUAGGCGGUCUGUCACGUCGGGUGUGAAAGCCCGGGGCUUAACCCCGGGUCUGCAUUCGAUACGGGCAGACUAGAGUGUGGUAGGGGAGAUCGGAAUUCCUGGUGUAGCGGUGAAAUGCGCAGAUAUCAGGAGGAACACCGGUGGCGAAGGCGGAUCUCUGGGCCAUUACUGACGCUGAGGAGCGAAAGCGUGGGGAGCGAACAGGAUUAGAUACCCUGGUAGUCCACGCCGUAAACGUUGGGAACUAGGUGUUGGCGACAUUCCACGUCGUCGGUGCCGCAGC
rnacentral:rRNA from 1 species